AUAACUUUGUGUUGCUGCCGGUGGUUGUUAGGGGGAGGGAUGUGGAAGUCGGCGGCGAGCAGGGUGACAGGCUGCUCGGGCGGGCUGCGGCGGCGGCGGCAGGCUGGCGGGGCGCGGGCGGAUCGCUUGCCUCUCGCCGGCUGCGAGCAGAGGGAGCGGGCGGUUUGCCGCUUUCCCCUCCUUCGCCUUUAAAGGGAAGGCUCCUCGGAGCUGAAGGCGCAGGAGCAGCAAGGAGCCAUGCAGCAGCGCUGCUUCUUCCUCCUGUGAAUUCGGAUCUCGAUUCCUGCCGGUGUGGAGGUGGCUGUUGAUAUCCCCCCCCCCCUCCCCGCCUCUCUCCCCUCCCGAUGUGGCUCUCCCUGCCUCUUCUGCCUGCGCUUUUUAAAUGACUUGAGUGAAGGGGGGAAAACUGUCAAGAUGGCAGCAGCAGGAGCAAGGAGGUUAUGAAUGUGGUGUUGAUGCUGGAACAAAACCUAUUCUCUUUGGCAGCCCUAGGGAGGGCUUAAAGCUUCUGGACCUGUUGGAAGACUGGCGAUUUGAUUUGUUCCCGUUGUGUUUGCUUUUUCCCUGCGAGAAGAAGGAUUUAUUAUUUUUGUUUUUAACCGAAUAGCCCCCGAGGUCGCCUUCUCCCGCCCCCUGCUCCCUCGGCUGUGAGAUUUUGGGGGGGGGGGGGGUUGCUUGAGUGUUUCUUGGGGGGCACCGCAAAGUGACACGCUUACGCUAGUGUGCAGCUGGAUGUAUGCGAAGACUUCGGCUCCCUUUAGGGGGUUCUGAAGAAGGAAAAAGUCUUCGGCGUAAUCCGAAGGACCCCUCUCCCUGCCCUCCCGCCGAAGCAGGAGGCAAAGGACCACCACCCCUCCCCAAAAGGAAAGAUAUCUGCGGAAGCGACGAGGAGCGAGCUCGGAGGCGCCGGUGGCGGGCGGAGGGGGGUGUGUGUGUGUGAGGGGAGGGGGGGGUUGUCCUCUCCCGGCUGGAUACAGCGCGGUUCCCGCUGGAGCUACUUCUGCAUCCGCAUGGAGUGAAACAUAAACAAACGCACACAGGCAGCGCGGGAGCGGCUGCCGCUCGGCCGGCGCGGAGGGCAGCGCCGCGGGCACCUCCGGCACCGCCCGGCCGCUCCGGCUCCUAAUCUGAUUUUUUUUUUUUUCCUCCCUCCCUCCUUCCCUCCCUCCUUCCCCCCCAUUGCCCCCCCCCCUCCGCUCCGGCGUGCGCACCGCCCGCGGGGAGCAGGGCUCGGGGUGCAGCGGAGAGCCUGCCAGCCCUUAGCGGAGAGCGGCAUGCCCGCCCGGCGGCUCCCCGCCUGCUGCUAGGCUCCCGUCGGCACCGAGGAGGAGGCGGCGGCGGAGGAGGAGCAGGGUCGGCGGCCGCCCGCCCGCCCCGUCGCAGCGCCCCGCCGCAGCCGCCCGCGGGGGAGGCCAAGAUGGCAGAGGCGUCGCCCCCCGCGCCGCUCUCGCCCCUGGACGUGGAGCUGGACCCCGAGUUUGAGCCGCAGAGCCGUCCCCGCUCCUGCACCUGGCCCCUGCAGAGGCCCGAGCUGCAGGCCAGCCCCGCCAAGCCCGCCGGCGAGCCGCCCGCCGACGCCGCCUCCAUGAUCCCCGAGGAGGAGGACGACGAGGAGGAGGGGGGCGGCUCGGCCAUGGCCGUCGGCAGCGCAGCCCCCGCCGGCGGAGAAGCGGCAGCGGCGGCCACCGCCGUCCCGGAGGAGGCGGCGCGGCUGCUGGCCCCGCUGCCCGGGGGCGGCCCGGAGGGACCGAGCCUCUCGCCCGGGGGAGCGGCGGGCGGCGGGGGGCUGAGCGGGGGCCCGGCGGCGGCGGCGCCGAGGAAGUGCUCGUCGCGGCGCAACGCGUGGGGCAACCUCUCCUACGCCGACCUCAUCACCCGCGCCAUCGAGAGCUCUCCGGAGAAGCGCCUCACCCUCUCCCAGAUCUACGACUGGAUGGUCCGCUGCGUGCCCUACUUCAAGGACAAGGGCGACAGCAACAGCUCGGCCGGCUGGAAGAAUUCGAUCCGGCACAACUUGUCACUCCACAGCCGAUUCGUCAGGGUGCAGAAUGAAGGCACCGGGAAAAGCUCUUGGUGGAUGAUCAAUCCAGAUGGUGGAAAAGGUGGCAAGGCGCCCCGGAGACGUGCUGUGUCGAUGGACAACAGCAACAAGUACACGAAGAGCAGAGGUCGGGCUGCUAAGAAAAAGGCAGCCCUGCAGACUGCCCAGGAGACGAGCGAGGACAGCCCUUCUCAGCUCUCCAAGUGGCCAGGGAGUCCCACCUCCCGCAGCAGCGACGAGCUGGAUGCGUGGACAGAUUUUCGCUCCCGUACAAAUUCAAACGCCAGUACGAUCAGUGGCCGCUUGUCACCUAUUUUGGCAAGCACUGAACUAGAUGAUGUUCAAGAUGAUGACGCUCCUCUUUCUCCCAUGCUGUACAGUAGUCCAUCGAGCUUGUCCCCAUCGGUAAACAAACCGUGUACUGUGGAAUUGCCUAGGUUGACUGAUAUGGCUGGGACAAUGAAUUUGAAUGAUGGACUGACAGAUAACCUCAUGGAUGAUCUCUUGGACAAUAUAACACUCCCUCCCUCCCAGCAGUCGCCCACAGGAGGGAUAAUGCAGAGAAGCUCCAGUUUUCCGUAUGGUUCCAAAGGUUCAGGGCUGGGCUCCCCGUCAAGUAGUUUCAACAACGCCGUGUUUGGGCCAUCGUCCCUGAACUCCCUCCGCCAGUCGCCCAUGCAGACCAUUCAGGAGAACAAGCAAGCCACCUUCUCUUCCAUUUCUCAUUACAACAACCAGACGCUGCAGGAUCUGCUUGCCUCUGAUGCACUUAGUCACAGCGAUGUCAUGAUGACACAGUCUGACCCACUCAUGUCCCAGGCCAGCACAGCUGUGUCCGCCCAGAAUUCCCGCAGGAACAUAAUGCUCCGCAACGACCCCAUGAUGUCAUUUGCCGCGCAGUCCAACCAGAGCGGUCUGGUCAAUCAGAGCCUGCCUCAUCACCAGCACCAGUCCCACAACUCCUCUCUUAGUGGCAGCCGUGCCUUGUCCAAUUCCAUCAGUAACAUAGGCUUGAGUGACUCGAACAGCUUGGGAUCCACCAAACAUCAGCAGUCACCUGUCAAUCAGUCUAUGCAAACACUUUCUGACCCGCUCUCAGGCUCCCCUUUGUACUCCUCUAGCGUGAACCUCCCGGUCAUGGGACACGAGAAAUUCCCAAGUGACUUGGAUCUGGAUAUUUUCAAUGGGAGCUUGGAGUGUGACAUGGAGUCCAUUAUCCGCAGUGAACUCAUGGAUGCAGAUGGGCUGGAUUUUAACUUUGAUUCCCUCAUCUCAGCUCAGAACGUUGUCAGUCUGAAUGUGGGGAACUUCACUGGUGCUAAACAGGCUUCAUCACAGAGUUGGGUACCAGGCUGAAGGAUCUUUGAGAACAGGGAAAAUGGGCAAACAGUGCAGGUUAUCUGUGCUUCGCUCUGGGGAGCAUCGAUGUGUCACCUUUCAAUUCUGAAGAAAGUUCCAGUGCUGCAGAAUUGCCACCUUUGGGAAUCAAAGGGAGAAAACAACAAGCGGCAGAUGAUCCUUCAGAGCUGCUCUGAUGGUGUACGAGCUGAUAUGGGGCUUGGGAGAUGGCCAUCCAGUUAAGUGGUGGAAUGAAGUGAGACAGGCCCUCAAACUGACACGAGAUGUAGAGAGAGAACCCUUUGCCAAAUCUGCUGUCAGCAAGUGGACAGUGAUACUGUUUACAGCUUACGACCUUUGUGAACCCUGCGUUAUUUUCCUAAUGAAGCAGACUGUUAACAGGCCCCUUACUGGAGUGAAGAUCCUCCUUUUUUUUUUCUUCUUUUUUUUUUUUUUUUUUUUUUUUUUUGGGAAUUGAACUCAUUCUGAAGUAUGCAAAAUCUUCCUUUUCUGGGAUGGCCAAGCACCUGCUGUGGAGACAAUGUUCAGCACCAUCCUGUUGAGAACACACUGUGUAGCCUUUACAGUAGUUACUUGUCAAUGAGUAUGUGGUGUUUCAAUAUAUUAAUGGUUUAUGGGAUGUUUUAAGUUGGCUUUUCUUUUUGGAGGCUUUCCCCAUCUGCCCACCCUUCCCCCUACAACCUCCAGUUUGAGUUCCCUAGAUUUUUGACCAUUUUUGCUUUCUCUCCCUGGGGAAUCUGAAGUACUGCACACAUGCAAGGAAAUUAUCAUAACCCGACACUGCUCAGACGUCAGGGUUUUCUGAAUAUACAGUGUUUGUCGUACCGAUCAACCGGCUGGAUUCCAGAGAGAGGUCAUGUGUGUGGUCUGUUGGUUUGUUGGGUUGGUUUGUUUGGUUUUUUCUUAUUACUUCCUUAAAUAUAAUGGUACAUCCCUGUUUUCCAUAGGCAUCAAACCAGGGUUGAUUCCAAAACAAAAGAAGCCAGUGAGUUUGCCUCUUGGCUUGUGAGGACGGACUGACAGCAGGUGCCAUUGCUCGCACAUGCACCAAGGCAGGAGCCUGUUUGCUGCCUGCCCGAGCAGGCUCCCCUCCUGCCUUAUGUUAGCAGGGCUGCCCCUACUGCUGCAGCGAGCUGGUAAGGAGUUGUAAGCUGAGCUGCCAGACAAGUUGAACAUAGCCACCUGUAAAGAUGUUUGAAAAAGCAAAAAUUAAGGGAAAUAUGCCACUUUGCAGAAAAGCUAAGCGUAGGGGCUGGGCAUCGGCAGGUGACUUGCAGUGGCAGUGCCGGGAGUUGAGGCACAGGUCAUUGCAGGGUGCGUUACUGCAUCAGUAAUCCUUUUUUCUUUUUGUUUUGGACAUAUCCUUGAUUAUUCUUUCCUUUUCAUUAUGUAUAAUCUGUUGCGGCAGAAGAAGCAGGAGAGGGAAUGGCAAGGUGACAGUAUCAUACAAAUGGCUUUUCAUAUGAGCGUAGAUUGUAACAGGAUAAAUGACACUGAAAGACAAGGCAGUUUUAUAUAUUUUGCUUCUAAGAUUUUCUUUUGUAAAAUGAAUAAUAAUUAAUAAUGAAUAAAAGGUAUGGUGCUGUAUAGAUCCUCUCUAUAAUCUGGAAAGUUUGAUUACUUUUUAUUAGUAUUUUGGGGGGGAGGGAUACAAAAAAAGAGGGGAAUACACCAGUGGUACAUAGGAACUCGGUAUGAAGAGGUUCUGAAUAGGACAGUGUAUACAUAAUUCUCCAAAGCGAUAUAUGAAGUUUUUUUUCUUUGCAUAAGAGCAUUAUGCAUAUAAAUAUAUAAAUAUAUUUUAUUAUGUACAGAAAUGGAUCAUUAUGCAUGGAUGUUAGGAAAACAAACUAGCCUUUUAACCCAAAGUCUCAGUGCAUGAGUUCCCACCGACCCAUGUCCUAUGCAAUGUGGAGUGACUCCCUCCCGCCACUGCCACCGCACAUGCGCAGUCAUGCACACACACACGCACGCACGCGCAUUCGUGGGCCCUUCCUCGCUCCUUACUUUCCAGGUCCCUGAGGUGAUAUUGGUGAAACAACAGCUCCUAGUGUGAUGGAAGUUUUGUUUUUGUAUCGUAGCCCCCACGCUGUUCUCUCGUAAAGAUGCACUUCUUGGUUUCUCCCCGCAGUUAUGACUGUGUAGGCUCUGUGCAGUUGUGGUUAUUGUAGCCCUGUAGCAUAUCAACUCUUCCAAGCAGCCAAGGGUUUAUCAUUCGCCUUUUGAAAAAACUCCUCUUUUCUUUUUACACUGAGGUGAUCUAUUUGUCAGCGUGGGGACUAGUUUAUUACAUUUAUUGGAGUUAGCUGAUGCUCACUGCCCAUCUCUGUCAGCAGCCAACUACCCAGGACACUCAUGUGGCACAGUGGUCACCUGGGCUAGUGGCUGCUUUGCUUAUUGGAGUCCAGUUGCAGUCAUCUUUUACCAAAAUUGGUCGAGAGCUUUAUCACCAGCCUCCUCUGAGCAUGUAGCAUUAGCUCUCAGUUUCCCAGUACACCCCAAAAUGUGAGUGUAUGCUAAAGGACUUCCCUCCGGUGCUCCUUUCCCUGAGGUUCCUCCGCAGCUGCUGCCCUGCGGCUGGGCUUGCCCCCCUGCCCUAUGGUUUCAGCCACCAGUAGAGCUCACUCGGUGGCUCCCCAUGCCGGGGCACAGUGUUUGGCCCCUGCACGGGUGAGCCUCCAAUGAGACCCGGGAUGCUCGCCCAAAGACCACCAAGCAGGUUGCUGACAGCACCAGUAAGGCCUGACUUGAUGGUAUGGCCAAGGUGACCAAAAUGCGUCUUUUUUUUUUUUCUUGGUACGGAUGCAGUUCUUGUCAAAUGCAAGGGAAGGCCCGUUCGCUUAAGCCAAAAUGGGGGCAACUUCUGCUCUGCUACGGAAGCCUAGCCCCCUUGAGUUCAACGGAGUGAGCUCCCACUGGCAGAAAUGAGAGAGAAAACUAUGGUCCACUUUGUUCACAAAAUGGAGGAAAAACACUUGAUGUAGAGACUGCCCAUCAAUGGCAGAGAAUUUGGUGGUUGUUUUUUUAAAUACAAGCAUUAGCAGCUGAAAGGCUUAACCUGCCUCCCAGCAAUGUCAAGGAAAGCAUUUCUGUUGGCGUGGCUGGGACACCUUGGCCCCCUGCUUUGGCGAACAUCCCAGCACUCACUGAAGGGGAGUGGACUUGGCCAGCCUCUUUGGUUUGGCUUGGUUUCUGUUGUUCAUUUUUGGGGCCAGAAUUUUCAAACAGAAGUGCCUGGUGUCAGGCACCGAACAUCGGGGACUCCAGUGUGGUCGCAGGGGGCAAGCUGCUCUGCCUUUGUCACUUCUCGAAGGAAGGAGAGGUGCCAGGUUCCCCCAGGCUCCCUAGGGGAAGAUGACCACCCUCUACGCCUGCUGAGGUGCCCAGCAAACACCCUCCUCUCCAGAGGUGCUAAAUAAAUCACACUGAAUUCAAAGGGCCACUUACUUAGGUGUCAAAAUACAGACUUGAAUGUCUAAUCUUGGGAACCUACCUUUUGAAAAUUUGGCCUCAAAGGCCAUGUCUUUGAACAUGUUUGUGCCUAGUUUUCCUUCUGAAACGUGUAAAGUCCAGAACAAUUACAUAGGUAUCAUUCAGAUGCUUGGUCUAGGCAAAAGGUCUAAAAGGGUGACAUUUAUGCAGUUCCUAGUCACUGGUCUGGGUCUUGAUUUAAUGAUCUUGUAAAAAAAAAAAUCUCUUUUGAGAAUAAUCAGAUAGGUGACCACUGCUUAACUCCAGAAAUUUUUGUGCCACCACUUGAAAAAGUUACCGUUUAGGUCAUGUAUUUCUCUAAAAUGGUGUCAUUGCUUGGCAAUCGGUGUCCUGUAAGUGUUUCUAGUACAAAAUAUACCUUAGGAAUUGCCAACAGAUGCGAAGGGGGACCAGAUACAUUUCGUUACUAUGGGUUGGAAAAAAUGGAUUGUACAUUUGGCUUCACAUGUUUAACUUUUUUUUUUAAAAAAGUUGCAUGAUUGGAAAAAAUAUGUAUACAGUAUCUGUAAAACUGUUUAAUCUGUUUUUGUUUCAAGCCAUGUAAAUUGGAAGAAUAUUAAAUCCACAGCCUUAUUGCGCAUGGCCAUCUUUACAUACCGAAGAGCUGAACAGUUUAUACUUUUCAUUUGGACUAUCUUGUACUUUCAUUUGAAAGCAGAUACUCUCAUGUUGCAGUCUUACUGAGGAUUUUGUAUUAAAAAAAAAAGAAAAAAAGAUGCUGCCCUGGAGGAAUAUACUACCUUACUACACAGAGGUUGAAGGAAGUUUGUUUUGGAGCAAAACCUGCCCCUUUCCAAACGAAGUAGAGAUGCAGUGCUUACUCCACUUGGUGUUAGUAGAUAUUGCCUUGUGUAUUCCAUUUUAAAUUGUAAUCUAGUUUGUAAAAGAGGUGGUGACGCAUGUAAAUAAAGCAUAUGGAUCUCUACAUUGCA